rnacentral:rRNA from 1 species
UACGUAGGGUGCAAGCGUUGUCCGGAAUUAUUGGGCGUAAAGAGCUCGUAGGCGGUCUGUUGCGUCGGCUGUGAAAACCCGGGGCUCAACUCCGGGCCUGCAGCCGAUACGGGCAGACUAGAGUUCGGCAGGGGAGACUGGAAUUCCUGGUGUAGCGGUGAAAUGCGCAGAUAUCAGGAGGAACACCGAUGGCGAAGGCAGCCCCCUGGGCCGACAUUGACGCUCAGGCACGAAAGCGUGGGGAGCAAACAGG